AUGGCAUCUCGUUUUUGGGGACAGGGAGACAGUGACUCCGAGGAGGAGGUGGACGAGAUUGAGUCAGAACAAGGGAGCGACAGUGAAAAAUCAGAAGCUGGUGAUGGGGGUCGUGAUGGGUCCAAGAACCGCUAUUUGAAUUCAGAUGACAGUGACGACUCUGAUACUGAGAGCCAUCGUGUGAUUCGCUCGUUGAAGGACAAGCGCAAUGACGAGAUGAAAGCUACUGCCGACCAGAUGCGCAAUGCAAUGAAGAUCAAUGACUGGAUUAGCUUGCAAGAGAGUUUUGACAAGCUCAAUAAGCAGCUUGAGAAGGUUGUUCGUGUCAACGAAUCUACCAAAAUUCCAAAUAGGUACAUCACAACUCUGGUACUACUGGAGGACUUCCUUGCUGAGGCUCUUGCAAACAAGGAAGCCAAGACGAAGAUGAGCAGCAGCAACUCCAAGGCACACAAUGCAGUGAGACAAAAACUUAAGAAGAACAAUAAGCAGUAUGAAGACCUGAUCCAGAAGUGCAGAGAUAAUCCAGAGAGUUUUGAAGAUCACAUUGCAGACAAGGUUUCGGAUGAUGAUAGUGGUGAUGAUGGUAGUGACGUAGAUAUUGUGGAUCCUGAACCAGAUCCAGAUGACAGUAGCGAUGACAAUAAGAGUGAACUGGGUGGAGCCUGGGAAAAGAAGUUGAGCAAGAAAGAUGAGAUUAUGGACAAACAGUUCUUGAAAGACCCCAGUGAGAUCACAUGGGAUAUUGUUGAUAAAAAGCUUAAGGAGAUUGUGGCGUCGAGGGGUAAGAAGGGCACUGGGAGAAUUGAGCGUGUGGAGCAGCUAACAUUUUUGACUCGUGUGGCAAAAACCCCUGCCCAGAAGCUUGAAAUUAUUUUUCAUGUGAUUUCUGCUCAGUUUGAUGUCAAUCCUAGCUUACUUGGUCAUAUGCCGAUCAACGUGUGGAAGAAAUGUGUUGAUAAUAUGCUUCUUGUGCUUGAUAUACUGCAACAAUAUCCUAAUAUUGUUGUAGACACCUCAGUGGAGCCUGAUGAGAAGGAAACUCAGAAGGGUGCUGCCUAUGAUGGAAUGAUCCAUGUUACAGGUGACCUUGUUGCGUUUCUGGAGAGAAUUGACUCUGAAUUUUUCAAGAGUUUACAGUGCAGCGAUCCAUAUACAAAAGAUUAUGUUCAGAGGCUUAGAGACGAACCCUUGUUUUUGGUGGUUGCACAGAAUGUCCAAGAUUACCAAGAAAGGGUUCAGAACUUUAAGGCUGCUGCGAAGGUUGCAUUGCGUCGUGUUGAACUAGUCUACUACAAACCUCAAGAAGUGUAUGAUGCAAUGAGGAAACUGGCCGAGCAGACCGAACUUAGCAUGGAUGAUGGAGAUACUGAGGCUGGUGAGGAGCAUCAAGAAGCUGAUGACAAUAGGGGACCGCCACCAUUUGUUGUGAUUCCAGAGGUUGUGCCUAGGAAGCCUACUUUCCCACCAAGCAACAGAGCUUUGAUGGAUGAUCUGAUGUCUCUGAUUUACAAGCAUGGAGAUGAAAGGACCAAAGCCCGAGCAAUGCUGUGUCAGAUAUAUCACUAUGCAAUCUCUGAUGAAUUUUCAGUGGCUCGUGACUUGAUCUUAAUGAGUCGUUUACAAGAUGGGGUUCAACUUAUGGACAUAUCAUCACAGAUUUUAUACAACAGGGUCAUGGCCCAACUGGGGUUAUGUGCUUUCAGGGCUGGUUAUAUCGCUGAAGCUCAUGGUUGCCUGUCUGAGCUAUAUUCAUUUGGGAGAGUGAAAGAGUUGCUUGCACAAGGGGUACAGCACAGCCGAUACCAUGACAAAACUCCUGAACAGGAAAGACUUGAGAGGAGAAGGAUGAUGCCUUACCAUAUGCAUAUAAAUCUUGAACUUUUGGAAGCCACACACUUGGUUUGUGCUAUGCUAAUUGAGGUCCCCAACAUGGCUGCCAGUGCUUUCGAUAAGCGGAGGCCUAUGAGCAAAACAUUCCGCAGGCUUCUUGAAAUUAGUGAGAGACAGACUUUUGUUGGUCCUCCGGAGACUGUGAGGGACCAUGUAUUGGCUGCCACAAGAGCCCUCAGUAAGGGUGACUACGAGAAGGCUUUCAGUGUCAUCAGAUCACUCGAUACCUGGAAGCUUUUGAGGAACAAGGAGCAUAUUCUUGAAAUGCUGAAGCUUAAGAUCAAGGAAGAGGCUCUGAGAACCUAUCUGUUUUCUUACUCGUCUUGCUACGAGUCCCUGAGCCUUGACCAGCUCACUACGAUGUUUGACCUCAGCGAGAAACAGGCUCACAGCAUUGUUAGCAAGAUGAUGAUGCAUGAGGAGCUUCAUGCAAGCUGGGACCAACCAACGAAUUGCAUCAUUUUCCAGAACGUGGAUCAAACUAGGCUGCAGGGACUAUUCUUCCAGAUGGCGGAUAGGCUCUCUGUCCUUGUGGAGAGCAAUGAGAGGGCGUAUGAGGCGAGGACUGGUGGCGCCCUUGAGGGUGCACCGCCAAGGCGCAGGGGUGGUGAUGGUCAAGACUCGUACGGUUUGGGCAAGUGGCAGGAGAACUUUGUAUCAUCACAAGGGCGGCGAGGCGGUGGGAGGUCAGGCUAUGCCGGCCGAACCGGAGGCUCUGGUCGUGGUGGUGGCUACCAAAACGACAUGUUCCAAAGCGACAGGAGUGGCCAGGGAUCCCGUGGAGGCUAUGGUGGUGGCGGCUCACGGUUCCAUGAUGGAAGGGCUCGCUCGCAGUCCGGUAUGUCAUCUAGAGGGGAUGGGGGUGCACGCUUGGUGAGCCUGAGCAGGUAG
rnacentral:rRNA from 1 species